rnacentral:misc_RNA from 1 species
GCUCGGAUCCGAUCCGCCCGGUGCGCUUUUUGGCCAUGCUGUCAGCGACACAUGCCUGCACUGCGCUGCACCUUUUUAUUUUCAGGAGCUAGAAAUAUCUCUAUGUGCAGGAUAUUUCUGCCUGCUGACUGCUGAGGAAGGAGCUCAGAGGAGAUAUUUGCAGAGUGUUGUCCGGGACGCAGUAGUGGUUGGGCCCAAAAGGAUGGGCAGGCAUUUGGACGCGACCAAGAAGUGGAUAAACGACCUGAUGCUAUGCUACGCUAUCCGACGCUUGUGUGCCCUGAACCUCACGCUAGGCCAUGGACCAGGGGACUCGCCCUGCGCCUUUUUCGUACACAAGGCGGUGUGGCCUCGAGCAUCACAUCAG